rnacentral:rRNA from 1 species
UUGCAUAUCAAUAAGCGGAGGAAAAGAAAAUAACAAUGAUUACCUUAGUAGCGGCGAGUGAAUAGGUAAAAGCCCAAGAUGUUAAUCUGCUAUAAAGUAGUAGAAUUGUAAUCUAUGGAGUAGCUCGGAAGGUUGAGACUCAUCAUAAGUGCCUUGGAAAAGGACGCCAGAGAAGGUGAAAUGCCCUGUCUUAGGAUGAGUCG